rnacentral:rRNA from 1 species
AGUGAACGCUGACGGUAGGCCUAACACAUGCAAGUCGAACGGCAGCACAGUAAGAGCUUGCUCUUACGGGUGGCGAGUGGCGGACGGGUGAGGAAUACAUCGGAAUCUACUUUUUCGUGGGGGAUAACGUAGGGAAACUUACGCUAAUACCGCAUACGACCUACGGGUGAAAGCAGGGGAUCUUCGGACCUUGCGCGAUUGAAUGAGCCGAUGUCGGAUUAGCUAGUUGGCGGGGUAAAGGCCCACCAAGGCGACGAUCCGUAGCUGGUCUGAGAGGAUGAUCAGCCACACUGGAACUGAGACACGGUCCAGACUCCUACGGGAGGCAGCAGUGGGGAAUAUUGGACAAUGGGCGCAAGCCUGAUCCAGCCAUACCGCGUGAGUGAAGAAGGCCUUCGGGUUGUAAAGCCCUUUUGUUGGGAAAGAAAAGCAGCAGGUUAAAACCCCGCUGUUCUGACGGUACCCAAAGAAUAAGCACCGGCUAACUUCGUG